rnacentral:misc_RNA from 1 species
GAUGAAGAACGUAGCAAAAUGCGAUACUUGGUGUGAAUUGCAGAAUCCCGUGAACCAUCGAGUUUUUGAACGCAAGUUGCGCCCGAAGCCUUUUGGCCGAGGGCACGUCUGCCUGGGCGUCACGCAUCGCGUCGCCCCCCACAAUUCUUCGUAAGGGGAACUCGUGUUUUGGGGGCGGAUAUUGGUCUCCCGUGCUCACGGCGUGGUUGGCCGAAAUAGGAGUCCCUUCGAUGGACGCACGAACUAGUGGUGGUCGUAAAAACCCUCGUCUUUUGUUUCGUGCUGUUAGUCGCAAGGGAAACUCUAAGAAAACCCCAACGUGUCGUCUUAUGACGGCGCUUCGCCCGCGACCCCAGGUCAGGCGGGACUACCCGCUGAGUUUAAGCAUAUCAAUAAGCGGAGGA